rnacentral:rRNA from 1 species
UGGGGAAUAUUGCACAAUGGGCGCAAGCCUGAUGCAGCCAUGCCGCGUGUAUGAAGAAGGCCUUCGGGUUGUAAAGUACUUUCAGUCGGGAGGAAGGUGUCAAGGUUAAUAACCUUGGCAAUUGACGUUACCGACAGAAGAAGCACCGGCUAACUCCGUGCCAGCAGCCGCGGUAAUACGGAGGGUGCAAGCGUUAAUCGGAAUUACUGGGCGUAAAGCGCACGCAGGCGGUUGAUUGAGUCAGAUGUGAAAUCCCCGGGCUUAACCCGGAAAAUGCAUCUCAUACAGGUCGGCUAGAGUCUUGUAGAGGGGGGUAGAAUUCCAUGUGUAGCGGUGAAAUGCGUAGAGAUGUGGAGGAAUACCGGUGGCGAAGGCGGCCCCCUGGACAAAGACUGACGCUCGGGUGCGAGAGCGUGGGGGGCAAACAAG